GAUCCAGAGAAGAAGUAGCAAGUCAGGGAGAGGGGUCAUCCAAGGAGGAGACCGAAGGCUCGGCGGCAUGGGCCAUCCGAUGAGGAUGGACAAAUAGAAGAGGUGGUAAAAGAAGUUAAGGAAAAAUCUAUGUUUAGUGAUGGUGGUUGUAUUAUUAUUUAGAAUGAGAUUGAAGAAAUGUUAAAAUAUUAAGCAUAAAGAAGGCACCUCUAAUGACUAUUAGGUGGUGUUUGUUUUUUAGAAAAAAACUCUUCUAACCUCUUAGUGCUGCGUGGCGCAGCACACGCGCAGCACUUUUAGGUUCGCAGCUGUUUGUUUUUCUGCAGACUUCGGGCUUAAAAACCUCUUCCCGUCCUCUUCCCCACACAGCAGUGGGCUUACCUCUUCUAACUACUUCUAACCUCAUUAAAAAAUCACUCUAUGCCCUAAACAAAAAAAAAAGCGCCGCUGCCUUUUCUUUCCCGUUCUUUUUCUAGGCUUCUUCUCGGUCCGACGACUCCAGCCUCCGGCCAUCGCCGGUCGCCUCCGCUGCCAGCCAUCGCCGGUCGCCUACGCCGCUUGCUGCUGCCCUCGAUCUUCACAGGUAAAUUUUUUUUUUUUUUUUUUCUGAUUUCUUUGAGCACCGAUUCAAUGAAAUUGAGUACAAAUUCUGUGAUUUCUUAUACAUUUGAGUACCGAUUGUUUGAAUGAAUCAAACAUAGGAAUGUUAAGUGGGAAUGGAAUCUCAAAUUCCAAUACCAUUGUAUAAAGUAUGCAUAAAAGUAGGAAAAAAGUAUGUUGAUUGUAAUCUUUUGGAAUGAAUCAAACAUAGGAAUGUUAAGUGGGAAUGGAAUCUCAAAUUCCAGCAAUGAGGUCUCAAAUUCCAGCAAUGGAAUCUCAAAUUCCAGCAAUGUUAAGUGGCUUUACAAUAUUGCAAAUAUAUGAUUAUAUUAUAAAUUAUAAAUUUCUUGCAUGCCCUCGGUUUCUAGAUCAGUUAUUUUUUUUGAUUUUUUUUGAUUUCUUAUUUUUUUGACUAACGAUUGUAUGAAAUUGAGUACAUAGGAAUCAAACAUAGGAAUCAAACAUAGGAAUUUUAUUUUAUUUUUUAUUUUUUUUGAUUUCUUAUUGAUUUGACUAACGAUUGUAUGAAAUUGAGUACAAAUUCUGUGAUUUCUUAUGCAUUUGAGUACCGAUUCUUUGCAUUUGAGGACCAAUUUUGUGAUUUCUUGCAUGUCCUCGGUUUCAAAAUCAUAAUCUUUGCUUAAUUGUUUUUUUUUUGUUCAUUCAUGAUGUAUUGUUGUUGAAUAUCUUAAACUUAUUUGUUGAUUAUGUUGGAAUAUGAUUAAUCUUUGUAGCUAAAGUAUGUAUUCUAUAUUUUUUUUUUUGUUAUUAGCAAUGGGAGAUAAACAUACAUGGACCAAUGAGCAAACAAAAUGCUUAUUGCAAACUUGUAUUGAAGAAGUGCAAACCGUGGGUAGAAAAGGUUUGAGUUUGCACAAACAAUCAUGGCACAAGUUAGGAACAACUAUUAAGGAAAAGUAUGGCGUGGAUUUGAAUCAACGACAAUUAAAAAACGCCUAUGAUAACCUUAAAGCCAAAUACACAGGAUGGUUAUACUUAAGAAACAAAACUGGAAACCUUUACAACCCACAAACAAAUACUUUUAACUUAACAAAUGAGGAGUGGGAGGACUUUAAAAAGGUAUACAUAUAUACAUAUAUACAUAUAUACAUAUAUAUAUAUAUAUACACACACACACACACACAUAUUUAUUCUUAUAUUACUUUUGUUACAUUGAUUGCGUUUAGGGACAUCCGAAAGCUGCUUCUUUGAAAACCGUCCCAUUAUUGUUUCCAGAGCUUUGUGCAGAACUCUUUGAUGGAAGCAGUGCAUCUGGUAAUCUCAGCUAUGCCACAUCCCAAACACCAUCGGGAUCAUCUUCUUUCCAUGGCGCACCAUUACAGCUUUUGGACGCGCCUUCCAUUAACAUAGAUGAAGAUGAUUUUUUUUCCAAUCAUACAAGUGAACAUUUUACUCAGACUCCACCUUCUGCUGCUUCACCUUCUGCUGAUUCACCUUAUGUUGCUUCACCUUCUGGUAACCCCAACAAAAGGGCUAAACCUUCAACUCCUAGACCUCGAGCUCCCAGUGCCUCACCUGAUCCACCUUCUUGUGCCUCGCCUAAAGCUUCUAUUACUGCUGAUGAUUUAGCACUGGAGAUGCAAAAAGCUCUACGCCAUUUGACUCAAGGGCCAACAAUUCCCCAGUGUUUAGAGAAGCUUGAGUUGCUCGAGUUAGACCCAAUAGACCCUAUACGAUUUGCUGCGUAUCACAUUUUUGGAGGGACCAUGAAUAUUAGAGAGAUGUGGGUAAAUUUGCCUAAUGAUCCACAAAUAUUAAGAGGAUGGAUCGAGAUGACAGCUACAAGUUUAGGAGUUUUAAAGGAUGGAAAGAUUGUUCGUUAAGUUUAUAUGUUAUUUGGUUAUUUGCUACUUGGGAUUUAUGAUAUGUUUUGGUACUUGAAUGUUAUUUUGUUAUUUGGUACUUGAAUGUUAUUUGGUUAUUUGCUACUUGGGAUUUAUGAUAUGUUUUUUGGUACUUGAAAUUUAUGUUAUAUUUUUUUGGUACUUGAGAUUUAUGUUAUUAUCUUAUGUUAUAUUAUUAUCUUAUGAUAUAUUAUUAUCUUAUGUUAUUAUAUGUUUUCUUUAUUAAUAGGUUUGUAAUGGAUCACGACAAAAAGAUACUACUCAUAAUUCUUAUGUACUUGUAUGUCCGCUACUUUUGGAAGAGGGGUGUAAAACGAGUGCGGGACAACGAUUCGGAAAUGACAGGACAUGAAUUUACGUUAGAGUUACUUCACCGUAAUCCUCUACAAUGUCUUGAAGUGUUACGCAUGUCUCGUGAAUCAUUUGUCCGACUAUGUGCUCAUUUUAGAGUAAACUACGCGUUAAAGGAUAGCAAACAUGUGUCGGUUGAGGAGAAGAUGGCUAUGUUUUUGAUGAUGAUCGGUCAUAACCAACGUUAUGUGAUUAUCAAGCGGAGAUUUCAACACUCAAAGCAAACAAUUCAUAAGUUUUUUCAUGAAGUGUUGGCCAAAAUGUUGCUUUUCGCACAUGACAUUAUAGUACCAACAUCUUUUAAUCCGAAUCCAAACAUUCCGGGACAUAAUAGGAGGCUACGACGGGUGUUCAAGGGAGCAGUUGGUGCACUUGAUGGCACUUUGAUACAUGCUGUUGUCCCUGCAAACAAACAGGAUUUAUAUAGAAGUAGGGGAAAAGGCGAUUGUUACCAAAACGUAUUGGCAAUAUGUGACUUUAACAUGAUGUUUACGUUUGUUGUUGCCGGUUGGGAAGGGAUAGCACACGAUUCUAGAAUUUUAUCAGAAGCAUUAGCAAAUCCACAUGCACCAUUCCCGCUUCCACCUCCAGGUAAAUUUAUGGUUAUUUAAAUAGUUUUAUCUUUAUUUGAAAAUAAAUGACUUUUUUUUACAGAUAAAUAUUAUCUAUGUGAUGCCGCCUAUGCAAACAUUCGAGGUUUUAUGGCACCGUACCGUAAUGUUAGGUAUUGGCUUGGAGAUUUCCGUCGAAGACGUGCAUUAACGAAUAAAGAAAAAUUUAACCAUGGACACGCAAAACUUCGGAAUGUCAUUGAACGUGCUUUUGGUGUCUUGAAAGCACGAUUCCCUAUACUGAAGAGGAUGGCACCAUUCUCGUUGGUUACACAACGAAACAUUACUCUAGCAUGUUUUGCGCUUCAUAAUUUUAUAAGAAGAGAGGGACUACGUGAUGAGUUUUUUGCACGAUAUGAUGAACCAAAUGUCUCGGUUCGGAAUAACAAUGCGGUCGUUGAUAAUGAUGAAGAUGAGAUUCCAACACAUGGUACUGCUGCGGACCGUGAAUAUAUGAGCCAGUUACGGGAUGAAAUUGCCGAACAAUUGAUGCAAAAUAUGGAAUGAAAAUUAUUAAAGUUUGGUUGUAUGAAUUUUAUUUAAAAAUGUUAUUGUAAGACUAAUUUCGUUGUUUGAAUUUUAUUUCAAUGUUUUAAGACUACAAUUAUUAAAUUUUUGGUAUUAACAAACUAUUUUCGGUUUAUUAAAUUACUUUAUUUUAAAUUUUUUAAUAUCUGCAGCAGUCUGCAGACGUUAAGAAAACAAACAUGCUUCUCAUUACAGUCUUCAGCACUUUGGUCCACCUCUUCUACUGCAGAGGUCUGCAGAGGUGGUCCGCAGACUUCAGACAGAUUCACUUCGAAAAAACAAACAGCACCUUAGAGAAGGUAGUCGAAGGUGGAGGGCGGCGACUACAAG
rnacentral:lncRNA from 1 species